CAAGCUGCGGAAGGGCUGGGAGCUCUUCGAGUGCUGGAAACCUAUGCAGGCCCGGAGGUCUCCCAGUGGGCGUCUCGGAAAACCGUGAACAACUUCCUGAGCAUGGGCCUGAAUCAUCCCAGCCAGCUGGUGAGGGUCAGGAGCCUGAGGGGCCUCAGCAGUGCCUUAAUGCACCCCAAGAAGGUCCAGCUGAUGGGGCUGCUGGACAGCUUCCUGAAGACUGAGCCCGAGGACCUUACAGGCCUGAUGGAGAUCCUGGGUGACAUUCUUCACCGCCUGGGCACCCAGGGCCUCGGUGCCACCAGCGUCAUGAUGGCCCAGCACCUGCUGCCCUUGGUCGAG
rnacentral:sRNA from 1 species